ACAGUUUACCCACGUGGUCUUGGCACACUCAAGCAUGUUUGCCAGUAAAUACAAUCCAAUGACUGGUAAGAAUGAAUGGAUAGUCACUAAUAAAGAUUAUGAUGAUAUGGAGACUGAUCUAUCACAAGAAUUCUCAAGGUCACAUUAUGGUGACACGGUUCACGACACGGAGAGAGUGAGGAUAAUUUUAAGGUGUAAUUUUAAUAUUUCCGCUAUUGCCCUUUAAUUAAAAUGAGAAAUACUAUUACGGGUUACAUUGGGCGAUAUGUCACUGGGAAUCAAAAGGGGUGGAGCCACGGGUCCUUGAUAUUGGAACUGGUACUGGACUACUGGCAAUGAUGGCUGGAAGAUGGGGGGCAACUAAUAUAACAGCAUGUGAAGUUUUGUCUCCGAUGGUCAAAAUUGCUAAAGAGGUUGUGAAAGUGAACGGAUACGAUAAAGUGAUAAAAAUAAUUAAUAAACGAUCAACUGAACUAACAGUAGGACUUGGUAAUAAUAAUAAUAAUAAUAAUAAUAAUGAUAAUAAUAAUGAUAAUAAUAAUAAUAAUAAUGAAUAUAUACAUGUUCAUAUACCUUGUUUAUUAGUCUGUAGUUUGUGUUUGUUAAUAUUCUUCUCAUUAAACUCAUUUUUAUUUGCUAA